rnacentral:misc_RNA from 1 species
GAUGAAGAACGUAGCGAAAUGCGAUAAGUAAUGUGAAUCGCAGAAUUCAGUGAAUCAUCGAAUCUUUGAACGCACAUUGCGCCCGCCAGUAUUCUGGCGGGCAUGCCUGUUCGAGCGUCAUUUCAACCAUCAAGCCCCAGGCUUGUGUUGGGGACCUGCGGCUGCCGCAGGCCCUGAAAACCAGUGGCGGGCUCGCUGUCACACCGGGCGUAGUAGAUUUUAUCUCGCUCUGGGCGUGCUGCGGGUUCCGGCCGUUAAAAAACCCUUUUAACCCAAGGUUGACCUCGGAUCAGGUAGGAAUACCCGCUGAACUUAAGCAUAUCAAUAAGCGGAGGA